rnacentral:rRNA from 1 species
UACAGAGGUGGCAAGCGUUGUUCGGAAUUACUGGGCGUAAAGGGCGCGUAGGUGGCCUUCUUAGUCAGACGUGAAAUCCCCAGGCUUAACCUAGGAACUGCGUCGGAUACUGGAUGGCUUGAAUUCGGGAGAGGGAUGCAGAAUUCCAGGUGUAGCGGUGAAAUGCGUAGAUAUCUGGAGGAAUACCGGUGGCGAAGGCGGCAUCCUGGACCGACAUUGACGCUGAACGGCGAAAGCUAGGGGAGCGAAACGGG